rnacentral:rRNA from 1 species
CCUACGGGAGGCUGCAGUGAGGAAUAUUGGUCAAUGGACGCAAGUCUGAACCAGCCAUGCCGCGUGAAGGAAGACGGCCCUAUGAGUUGUAAACUGCUUUUGUACGGGGGUAAACGUAGACACGCGUACCUUUUUGAAUGUACCUUAUGAAUAAGGAUCGGCUAACUCCGGGCCAGCAGCCGCGGUAAUACGGAGGAUCCGAGCGUUAUCCGGAUUUAUUGGGUUUAAAGGGAGCGUAGGGGGUCGGUUAAGUUAGUUGUGAAAUCUCGAGGCUCAACCUCGGAAUUGCAUUUGAUACUGGCAGGCUAGAGUAUAGUAGAGGUAGGCGGAAUUCGUGGUGUAGCGGUGAAAUGCUUAGAGAUCACGAAGAACACCGAUUGCGAAGGCAGUUUACUGGGCUACUACUGACGCUGAGGCUCGAAAGCGUGGGGAGCAAACAGGAUUAGAUACCCGGGUAGUC